rnacentral:rRNA from 1 species
CCUACGGGUGACAGCAGUGGGGGAUAUUGCACAAUGGGGGAAACCCUGAUGCCGCGCCGCCGCGUGAGCGAUGAAGUAUUUCGGUCUGUAAAGCUCUAUCAGCAGGGAAGAAAAUGACGGUACCUGACUAAGAAGCCCCGGCUAACUACGUGCCAGCAGCCGCGGUAGUACGGAGGGGGCAGGCGUUAUCCGGAUUUCCUGGGUGGAAAGGGAUAGUAGACUGCAGUGCAAGUCUGAAGUGAAAGGCAAGGGCUCAACCCUUGGACUGCUUUGGAAACUGUGCUGCUGGAGUGUCGGAGAGGCAAGUGGAAUUCCUAGUGUAGCGGUGAAAUGCGUAGAUAUGAGGAGGAACACCAGUGGCGAAGGCGGCUUGCUGGACGAUGACUGACGUUGAGGCUCGAAAGCGUGGGGAGCAAACAGGAUUAGAUACCCCAGUAGUC